rnacentral:lncRNA from 1 species
AAGUGUCCCCACAGCCCUAGCUGCUAUUUGAUAUUCUCCCUCUUUGCUAUUAAGAUUUUUUAAACUGGAGCAUUUCCUCUUUUUCCCUGGUCUUUUUUUUUUUUUUUUUUUCAAGGAAAGUUUAGGACAGCAGGAAAACUGCUGAGCUGAGACACAACGUAAAGCUGACGCUGCACAUGCCUCAUGGUUUUCUAUUUUCAUUCCGGCACGGUUGUGGCUGGAAACCAGCUUUUAGGAUCCCUGGUGGACCCGUGUCCCUGGUGUUUCAAAACACUCCACUUUAGACACUAUUCAGAGAGGUGUGAGGCCACUGACUCCGUUUCCUCAUCUACAUCACGUAGCUUUAGGGAAGUGACCAAAAUAGGUGUUUGAGGAAAGGGGGGUGGAGAGGGGACAAGGGGAGUGUUCAGAGACGGGAUUCCGCCCACCCACAAACCCACACACCCACACCCACACCCACACCCACACACACACACACACACACACACGUGGGGGCCUGUGGGGAAUGUUCUGGGGGUGGGAGGCUGACUGCAAACACUGACUACAUUUGUGCCUGUGACUUUUGUACACACACUGCAUCACCACACACUUGAGGACACGUCUCUGAAAAAUGCUGACACAUGCGUUACAAGAAUGUUAUUUACUCUAUGAUGGUUUGGGUUCUGUUGCGGGCUUUGGGGGGGGUUGGGGGUUUUUUGGUUUUUUUCUGUUUGUUUUUGUUUGUGUUUCAGGGCUGCACCUGCAGCAUUGGGAAGUUCCCAGCUUAAGGGUCAAAUCGGAGCUGCAGCUGCCGGUCUACGCCACAGCCAGAGCCACAUCAACGCAGGAUCUGAGCUGUGAUGCAACCUACACCACAGCUCACGGCAACGCCAGAUCCUUAACCCACUGAGCAGGGUCCCGCAUCCUCAUGGAUACUAGUUGGGUUUGUUACCACUGAGCCACAAUGGGAACUCCCUCUUGUGUUUUGUUUCAGAUUUUCUUAGCUUUCUUCCUCAAAUACAGUUGAUGACUUAUUUUCACAUUUUUUUACUGCCAACAGGAUGGAUGGACACGAGUCAUUUUGCUGGAAGGCGGAACUGACUCCCUGUACCCAAGCUGCUCAAAUCCUGCCUCUGGGAGCAAAGGCUGCUCACACAUACUUCAGGGGACCAGGAAGAGCUCGAGCCAACCCUUAAAUCCUGCCCAUCACCCCACUCCACUGUCCCCGUCAAAGGGGCCACUUCUCAAAGAGCCAAGCCAACCCGCAGGCUGGGAAUAACUCUUUGAUCUGGACAGAAACCCACAUGCAAAGGAAGCAGAGACACUUUGUCCGUGGAGGGAGCCAGCUGCAUCUAAGCACACCGCCUUUCCUGGUGGAGAUUUAUUUUUCCCAGCACGAUGUUAAACCCACAGCUUCCAAGAGCAGGACACUGCUGUCAGGGCAUCACAGCCCCUCGAUGCCGCCACGGCCACAGCCUCCUGAAGUCAUCAAAGUCGCCUCCAGGCCUGAUGACAGGGCAACCCCCCCCCCCCGCCCCGUCUAGGGAGGCACAGUCUUCCCCUCCCUCCCCACAUGACAACUCCGUUAUUUCAAAGGCAUUUUACCUGCUAUAACUUUUCUCCUUAGAGUCUUUUAGAAGGAAAUGGAUCGGCUUCCACACAAUGGGGAAAGAGCCACGGAAUUGACAGGAGACAAGGGCUCAGAUUUUGAACUGGCUUCUUAGAAGCCACAUCCCUUUACUCAAGUCAUGGUCUGAGUCGCAGUUUCAGAAAGCGGGGGGACGGGAACAUCUUUUUCAGGGGGCAGAAAGCCAGGAGAAAUUUAAAUGAGAUCAUACAGAAAGUACCUAGCACAUACUGAGUGCUUACUAAGCUUCACCCAUAAAACAAUGACCAUGUUCGAUUAACACCUGUUGAAGGGUGUGACCGUUCCAUGAGAAAGGCCACCAGGAACAUUGUGAACCCAAUACGGUCUUUCUCAGAGCGGACUGGGUAGUAGCCAAAGUGACCGCCAUCCGUGUAAAGGUAUCAGACUGUAACUGCAACCGCUCCAUACCAUGACAGGUGUAACUGUAACUACACCAACCAGAUGACACCAGAACUUUACAACGUACCUGUAAAGCUGUUACAUGCAUAGGUGUUAAUUGCCACAGCAUUUAUAACAGAGAAACACCAGAAAUACCAUAAACGUUCACAAGAGUACGUCUGUGCCACGAGCUAUGCUGCUGUUAAAAAACAGUCUGUUAGCGCUGACAAAAAUCUGAGUGACAUAGUGGUAAAGCUUUCAUUAAAACUACAGAGAAAUAGGUAAAGAAUGCUACAAUUCAUUCACUCCCUAAACCAGGGCGUGGACGUACAUAACUCUAUAGAAAAAGGACUGGGCACAUAAUUUAACUGUAGAGCGUUCUUACCUAGGGUGGGGGUGGUUGAUGCCAGCGCGGGAUCCGGGAGAUGGCCACGUAACUGUGUCGCCACAUGAACCCUCUUAGCACACAAGUGGACUUUACGUUUUACUUACAAAAUGGAAACAGUUUUUAUUUGCAUAAUUAAAUACUAAGAACAUAUGCCACUCUGGAUCCUCUAAAUAACUCUGAUUAAAGUCGAGGCUGGUUGAUGAGUUUUGUGCUCCAGAUGUCUCUGUUUUGUGACAGCCUCAGAAGGGGUCCCAAACAACCCACCGCUCAAUGUCCAAGCAGCAGAGAAGCCUGGUCUCCUCCACUAGCACAACAGCCUCUCCUUUAUUUGAGGACUUGGGCCCAGCUCCUUCCUUCUCUGUGGUCAGUGACUUGGGGUCCUGUCUGGGCUCAGAAGGAUGCUGUCCUGAAAAGACCCGACUUUGACUCCUGGCUCUGCCGGGGACCAACUGAGACUUUGCCUCGGUUUUCUCCUUUGUAAAACAGGGGCGUGUCUACACUUUGCAGGGCUGUCAAGAGGAUCAGACGACACACACGACGUGCUCAGCAAAUGGCAGCUUUUAUCAUUACUACGAUUAACCAGCAAUUCCUGGACUCAGGAUCAAUUCUCAUCUGGUAACCGAGAGCCUGUUAUCUGAUGAUUUUGAAAGCUCUAAUAUUCUAUGAACAUGUGCUGAAGAAGAAAGUGGGCAAGCACAUGCUGACAAGUGCAGCUGGGUGGCCGGGACCAAACUGCUCAGACAGCCACCUCAGCAGGGCCUGGGUAAUGGUGGCACUUGUGUGACGGUUCCCACUCGGGGGAAGAGGAGGGGAGGGUAAAAGGCUUUUUCUCCAGCCCAGAAGACUUGGAAUUUGGAGACGUCACAGACAGAUAGACAGACACCUUCAUAUUCUUCUACUGCCAAAUAAAAAAACAUCCCCUAGUGCCUAUUGUAGGCUGGGAACAGCUUACGAAAUAGGAGACCUUCGUGCGACCUUCCCAAACACAGCCGUCGCUUUCCAGCCUCUCCUCUUUGGGGCAGAAGUUGAAGUCAAAUUCCUCUCGAACCCAGGCAUCACAAUACCUCUGCACACCUAAGUCUAUCCUUUGAGGCUCAGCAGAGCUUCCACCUCCCUUAUUAACCUUCCCAAAUUCUCCUCAUUAAAAGUCAUCUCUCAGAGGUCCGGUCGUGGCUCAGGGGAAACGAACCUGACUCGCAUCCAUGAGGACACAGGCUUGAUCCCUGGCCUCGCUCAGUGGGUUAAGAAUCUGGUGUUGCUGUGAGCUGUGGUUAGACUGCAGAUGUGGCUCGGAUCUGGCGUUGCUGUGGCUGUGGUGUAGGCCAGUGGCUCCAAUGCGACCCCUAGCCUGGGAACUUCCAUAUGCCAUGGGUGCAGCCCUAAAAAGAUUUUUUAAAACUCACCUUUUGGUUUUGGUUUUGUACAUUACCAUUCUGUGUACCUGCUUUUCUUCCCUCACAGGGCCAUAAACCCUCCUGGAAACCAAAUCAUGUAUAAUUGUCACCCUUCCACAAACAUUUAUUGAGCAUCUAGCUAGAUGAUAAGUAAUGCAAGGCCUUGGGAUACAUAAAUAAUAACGCCUCCGUUAUCAAGGAGCCCACGGUCUAACGGGAAAGACGGGCGAGUGAAGAGUUUCAAUAGCCAAGGCGCUACGGGAGCACAGGACGGGCCUCCCCAGCCUACCUGAGUAAGGAGAUGGGGAUAGGGUCCCAAAAGGCUUCCUUGCAGGGGAGGUCUCAGCUGAAGUGAUCCCAGCAGAAAGGACAGGAAAGGACAAACCUGUAUUAAAAUCAAUAUACCUGUACUAUGGAACUGGUAGCAGUCUCUCUUAAACAUACACUAACCAUGCAACCGAGCAAUUGCUCUCGUAGGUAUUUCUCCAAGAGCAAUGAGAACACAUGAGCACCAAAAAGACAUGUCUGCAAAUGCUCAUAACCACCUUGCCCACAAUAUUCAAAGGAAACCACCCAAGUGUCUGUCGACGAUGAACGAAUACACAUGCUGAGGGGUGUCCAUCCCAUGAAAACGCUGGGCAUCAUAGAGGAACAAACCACUGAUACACAGGCGACGUGGUGGUCAUCGCCCAGAGACACUCUGCGGAGCAAAAGAAGCCAGGCUCGAACGAGUACGUGAAAUCUCGAAACAGGAGAAAAUAAUCUAUGGUGACGGAAAGCAGAUCAGUAAAAGCCUGGGCCUGGGGAUCUUGACUCUAAAAGGGCAUAAGAGAAUUGAGACGGUGGGGGAGAAGGGAGCAAAAGGCAUGUCCAUCUUUUAUUUAUUUUUGCCUUUUCUAGGGCCGCACCCGUGGCAUAUGGAGAUUCCCAGGCCAGGGCUCUGUGACGUACUGGCUAUGUAAGAGUUACCCAAUAUUCUUAUUAGUAUUAGCGUUAGCGUCAGUAUUUACAUUCCAGGCACCAGGAACAGUACAAGCAAAGACCUAGAGGUUAGAAACAACGCAGACCAGUGAAGGGAACUACAAAACGAUUUAGCGUCUUCAGAACAUGAAUGAAGAGGAAAGACAUGAAAGAGACGAGGUCAGAAAGGCUGAGAUGGUUCCAGGUAACCCAGCUCAAUGUCUUUACACUUCACAGAGAGCUUCUGACACAUCCAAUUAAGUGGCUUUUUUCUUCUUUUUUUUUUUAAUGA